rnacentral:lncRNA from 1 species
CUUCCAUCCAUUUCUCAGAAUCGAUAUCUAACAUCACCUCAUUGUAGGUUUUGAAAUCAUCUUCAUAUUUUUUAUUUGCCAUGAGGAAUAUUUUCUCUACUUUCUUUAUCAGAAUACCUUAAGUAUCUUUCAAAAGGAUGAAAAAUCCUACUCGAUCUAUGAGUGGAAUAAGAAGUCCAUGUACUAGCUCAACAUGAAUAGAUUCAGCAAGUUUAAUAGCUCAUUGCUCCCCAG